rnacentral:rRNA from 1 species
UACGGAGGAUGCGAGCGUUAUCCGGAUUUAUUGGGUUUAAAGGGUGCGCAGGCGGGCGAUUAAGCGUGAGGUGAAAUGGCACGGCUCAACCGUGUAACUGCCUCGCGAACUGGUUGCCUUGAAUGACCCUGCCGUGGGAGGAAUGGGUAGUGUAGCGGUGAAAUGCAUAGAUAUUACCCAGAACACCGAUUGCGAAGGCAUCUCACGAAGGGUUGAUUGACGCUGAGGCACGAAAGCGUGGGGAU